AACGGGUGAGUAACACGUGAAUAACCUGCCCUUCAGUUGGGGAUAACAUUUCUAACGAGAUGCUAAUACCGAAUAUCGUAAUCAUUCGCAUGUUUGAUUACAAAAGGCUUCGGCCGUUGAAGGAUGGAUUCGCGUCUGAUUAGCUAGUUGGUGAGGUAAUGGCUCACCAAGGCAACGAUCAGUAGCCGGCCUGAGAGGGUGAUCGGCCACAUUGGGACUGAGAUACGGCCCAGACUCC
rnacentral:rRNA from 1 species